GACGAACGCUGGCGGCGUGCUUAACACAUGCAAGUCGAACGAGUGGCGAACGGGUGAGUACCACGUGGGUGAUCUGCCUUGCACUUCGGGAUAAGCUUGGGAAACUGGGUCUAAUACCGGAUAGUGCAAGAUGAGCUCGCGGCCUAUCCGCUUGUUGGUGGGGUAAUGGCUACCAAGGCGCGACGGGUAGCCGGCCUGAGAGGGUGUACGGCAACAGUGGGACUGAGAUACGGCCCAGACUCCGACGAGAGGCAGCAGUGGGGAAUAUUGCACAAUGGGCGGAAGACUGAUGCAGAGACGCCGCGGUAAUAC
rnacentral:rRNA from 1 species